UUGAUUUCUUCGGAAUGAAGUUUUUGUGACUGAGUGGCGGACGGGUGAGUAACGCGUGGGUAACCUGCCUCAUACAGGGGGAUAACAGUUGGAAACGACUGCUAAUACCGCAUAAGCGCACAGCAUCGCAUGAUGCAGUGUGAAAAACUCCGGUGGUAUAAGAUGGACCCGCGUUGGAUUAGCUAGUUGGUGAGGUAACGGCCCACCAAGGCGACGAUUGGUAGCCGGACUGAGAGGUUGAACGGCCACAUUGGGACUGAGAUACGGCCCAAACUCC
rnacentral:rRNA from 1 species